GGACCAAGGAGUCUAGCAUGUGCGCGAGUCAUUGGGACAUGACUAAACCUAAAGGCGCAAUGAAAGUGAAGGUCCGCCUUGCGCGGACCGAGGGAGGAUGGGCGGUCGUUACGGCUGCCGCCCCGCACUCCCGGGGCGUCUCGUUCUCAUUGCGAGAAGAGGCGCACCAAGAGCGUACACGCUGGGACCCGAAAGAUGGUGAACUAUGCCUGGUCAGGACGAAGUCAGGGGAAACCCUGAUGGAGGUCCGUAGCGAUUCUGACGUGCAAAUCGAUCGUCGGAACUGGGUAUAGGGGCGAAAGACUAAUCGAACCAUCUAGUAGCUGGUUCCCUCCGAAGUUUCCCUCAGGAUAGCUGGCGCUCGUUGCGUACGAGUUUCAUCCGGUAAAGCGAAUGAUUAGAGGCAUUGGGGUCGAAACGGCCUCAACCUAUUCUCAAACUUUAAAUGGGUGAGAUCUCCGGCUUGCUCGAACUCUUGAAGCCGCGAGACUCGAAUCAGAGUGCCAAGUGGGCCAUUUUUGGUAAGCAGAACUGGCGCUGUGGGAUGAACCAAACGCCGAGUUAAAGCGCCUAAAUCGACGCUUAUGGGAUACCAUGAAAGGCGUUGGUAACUUAAGACAUCAGGACGGUGGCCAUGGAAGUCGGA
rnacentral:rRNA from 1 species